CAUAUCACAUUGAAACAUAGAUUCCCAUAUGAUCACUGAAGUUAAGCAACAUCAAGCUUGGUCAGUACAUAGAUGGGUGACCGCUUGGGAAUACUAGGUGCUGUAAG